GAUCAAGGGAUGAGGUAUAGCAGCUACUAGCAGGAAUGGUGACAGGAACAGGAAGUUGAGAGCUCAUAUUCUUAACUGCAAAGAUGAAACAAAAAAAAAAAAGAAAACAAAUUUGUAGCAGAAUUUUCUCCAUCUAAUCAAUUUAAAUAUUAAUACAAAAAGCCUGUGAUUGGACAAGGAAAAGGGAGGCAGAGCUAAGAGUUUCAGCGACUGGGAGAGAAGGAAGGAAGAUGGAGCACGAGGAAGAUGACCCAGAUUCCACGUGGCUUUAAAUAGCCACAGGGCCUCAGACUUGCUGGGUUCAGAAUAUGGUUCCUGGGGUUGUCCUCAGAGCACCAGUGCAAAGCAGAUACCUGGAGUGGAAAUUUCUGGAUGUGUCAUAUGAUGCAGACUCACGUGAUGUCUUGCUGAAACAGACCCAUGAGAGAACACAUGAUGUUUGGAGAGAAUAAAAGUAGGACUCAGCAGACAGUACCAGGUACUUGCUUUGCUAGGUGUGCAAUGCUUUGUUGUUCUUGUUUCUUCACUGAUCUUCACUUUGUUGAGAGAGGCAUGGCAGAGAACUUACCCUGGUAUUACUGCUGCUUCUGCUUGCUCCCGUUGAUUCAUGCUUAUUUGGAGGAAGCCUGGCUGUUUCUGCUGGAUUGUGCCACUGAUGCUGAUGCAGAUUUGGAGACACUUUUUGAACUGGACAGUUGGCAUCCUGACACUGCUGAACUAGACUGCUGGUAUCCUGACAACAGAGAUUGGAACUGCCUUAAAGAACUACUGCUAAAUAAGUCCACAUCUUCUUGUUCUAUUUUCCUAUUUAGGUAUCAUGCUUACCUAAAAUCACAGAAGGUAGAAGGGUAGGCAUAGUGACCUCUGUCCCUUUUAUAUCUUCUCAGAAUGAAAUAAAGAAGUUCUGACCUUUAGUUAAGUCAGGUAGAAUAUAAUAGACAAGGAUAUGAUGCCAAAUUGCAAAGUGAACUGAAGUCUAUACUGUCUUUACUAUACACAAUAGUAAAGUGGGCCCUGAUGGGUUCAGUUGCCAUAUAGAAAAUGGCAACAGAUCAGUUUUGAAGAUCAGUGGAAGUCCCAAAUCUACAACUUGCUAAUUAUGUGACCCUGGAAUUGUCAGAUUUUCUGACUCAGCCUUGAGGUCUUGACAUUUAUGAAACUAACAUUGCAGUGCCUGGCUUAAGGCCUACUGCCGAACUCAAUAGAAUAACAUAUGCAAAUCAGUAAAAAAAAAAAAAAACUAUGCAUGUUCUUGCAAAACAGGCUAUUCUAAAUUUUAGUUAUUUCUAGUUCCAUGGAGAUUUCCUGUAAGUGAGAUCACACAUUCUUAGUUCUUUCUAUCUCCCGGCCUCACACUGUGCCAUUUUCUCAGAAGGCUUGAAUGUGAUUCUUUGUAAUAAAUCACUCAAACAAGUGGAUAAAAAAGUUUCAUGAGAAAGAACCCAGGCUGCUCAGGUCUUGUGGCAGAAUCAGAUGGCGCCUUCUCACAUGGGAAGUUGCCAGCUGGACCCUGGCAGGUGGACCCUACUGCUCCCUCCUGGUUUUCCUCACUGCAGGCUGGCAUUAGGUUCCAUCUAUCUGACUUCCUCUGAAUUACAAAAUGGAUCAUAUUGACCUGCUAAAAGUAAGAAUGGAUUCCAAACCAAUGUCCAUCAUGCGUGACUAGCAUCAUGUAAAGGCACAGCAAGAUUGUUGGCUCCAACCUGCCUUCAGAACUAGGACUAAUCUUGGACUCCCUUUAGGAAAGAUUGUAGGUUUCUGUUCCUGGAACAGUGGGAGGCCAUUCAUGAGAACUCAGAAAUCAACAUCACUUGGUGACUUACUGAAAAUGAAGGCUCUCAGUACCUACCCCAGACCUGCUGAAUCCAUCUUAGAAAGAUGUUCAAGAGAUAAAAGCAUCAAUUAGUGUUAAAGAAUAGGGGACCUAUGGCACACCGACACAUUGCAUUCUUUUACCAGAAUUUUUAUUUCCUUUUCCGGUGAAUCUCCACAAACUCUCUGUAACAAACUAUGUAUAUCCAAGCUCUAUCCACUGGGUCAGUUGAUAGUCCAUAUGUAGGCUUCAGUGAGAAGCACUGAAGCACUGUGAGAGGAGGCCUAAGGUUUCCGACCCCAGCAAAUCAGUGCUGUCUUUAGCUUUAAAGAACCCAACUGCUCAUGUCUGGGUCUUGUAAGCCAUUGAUUGCCCCUGAGAUCCUGCUGGCUUGACCCAACAGCACCAAUCCUUGACCAGAAAUCAAUGGAGCUGGAUUCAAAGUCUGACAAUCAUCAUUUCAUCCUGCUGCCUCUCUGACUUCUGGCAAAAAACUCACCUUCUGGUUCCUCAUAUCUGUAUUUAGACCGUCAACAUCAGCUUAGCUUACCAAAGAAGCUAGAUGUGAUCAGUAAAUAUAUAAAGAUGCUGUAAACUGUG